rnacentral:rRNA from 1 species
GACGAACGCUGGCGGCGUGCUUAACACAUGCAAGUCGAACGGUGAAAGCGGAGCUUGCUCCGCUGGAUCAGUGGCGAACGGGUGAGUAACACGUGGGCAACCUGCCCCUCACUUCGGGAUAACUCCGGGAAACCGGGGCUAAUACCGGAUAUGACCUCCUUGGGCAUCCUUGGAGGUGGAAAGUUUUUCGGUGAGGGAUGGGCCCGCGGCCUAUCAGCUUGUUGGUGAGGUAGUGGCUCACCAAGGCGACGACGGGUAGCCGGCCUGAGAGGGCGACCGGCCACACUGGGACUGAGACACGGCCCAGACUCCUACGGGAGGCAGCAGUGGGGAAUAUUGGGCAAUGGAGGAAACUCUGACCCAGCGACGCCGCGUGAGGGAUGAAGGCCUUCGGGUUGUAAACCUCUUUCAGCAGGGAAUAAGCGAAAGUGAAGGUACCUGCAGAAGAAGCACCGGCUAACUAUGUGCCAGCAGCCGCCGUAA